rnacentral:lncRNA from 1 species
GAAAACUAGAAAUUUAAAUAGUAUUUUACUUUGCAUAUACACACAAAAUAAAAUAAAGUGGUUUUCACCUCCAUUCCCUUCAGAUCUUCUAAUUUCAAUAUGAAUUAGAGAAAGUUGGGUAGGAUUACUGCAGGCACCUGAUGGCAGGUGGUAGAUGGUCAACACAUAUUUGCUCAAUGAACGAAUCUCUGAAUGAUUAAAUCGGAUGCAUGUUCAGCAUCUCUGAGAGCAGUUUCAGAAAGAAUUGUAAAAAAGAGUCGUUCCUUACCCACAAAUAUAAUACCAAGCAUGGAAUAUGACUGGCAAGGAAACAUAAAAAAGAAAAUGAAGAAGGGAAGGAAAAAAAACUAGAUAAAUUGUAAGUUAAUUUAAAAGAGAAGGAUAAAAAAGUUGAAUUAUUUUUAUUCCAGAAGUAAGGAAAAUAGAUCCUUAGACUCAUAAAUGCUUAUAAUUUUGUAUGUUCUCAAGUAAAUUUCAACAUAUAAGGAAAAAUAUUCUCUCAUAAUGGUUAGUUGAAUGUAUAGAAGUUAGUGAACAUACAACUCUUUUUUUAUCAUCCUUUAAUGCAAUGGCCUUUUGCGUGAAUAAAUGCCAAGAAUAUGAGGCACACGAUAAAGGAUCCCAACGAUGCAAAUCUGUGCAGGCAGCAGCUGAGGACAGAUUUUCCCAGGGAACGUUUACUCUGGGUACAGCAAGGCCUCAUGUACCUUCAGCCAGAAGUUUCAUGGACUCAAGCUUUGAGGAAUCACCUGUUUCAACUAGGCAGGAUUCCAGAAGAAUCUGAAGACCUGGGGGAGAAAAAAGCCACAGGAUAGAAGAAUCCUGGGUGCUUGAGUGACAGAGAAGAACACACAUCUCACACACUGAUCCAAACUGGAAUGUGAUAUGAGUAGGAGGACACCAUAUGCCAGCUGAGCCUGAAACUCUCAGGAAGUGGUUGGGAAGAGUCAGAGCGAACAUCUGUGUUGGCUGUUAUUGGCUAAGGUAUUACAAGAAUGAGAUGAGUUUAGAUAAGAAUUGGCUAGUUUGCAAGUCGAAAUGAAAGGAAACAGAAUCCAGAAAUUGAAUACCAUGAAGAAAUGGAAAAGCCAACUGUUUUCUAGAAUACAAACUGCAGGAAAUAAGAUUGAAAGAGUCUUUAAUCCACUAUGGCUCAUUAGGAUUCAGGUGUUACCUUCCCACUCAAGCUUGAUGGCCCCAGGGUAGCCAAGAAAUCAAAGCUUGAAAAUUAUGUCUAGGAAUGAACUUUGGGUUUAUUGCAUUACUAGUGUCUGAAAAUGACUGAUAACAAAUAGAUCAAUAGUUUACAUAGUUUUGAAGGAAUUUUAUUGCCAAAGACACUGCAAACCCUAUGGGAGAGACUAUUAACCUCCUAAGAUAGUGGUUCUUAUAUAGGGGCAAUUUUGCCUCCUACGGGACAUUUGGAAAUGUCUGAAGACACUUUUGAUUGUCACGACUGGGAGAAUGCUACUGGCAUCUAGUGAGUAGAGGCCAGGAAUGCUGCUAAAUGUACUACAAUGCACAGGAUACCUCCACACAACAAAGAAUUAUGCAGCCGCCAAAAUCUCAAUAAUUCCCAGGUUGAGAAACCUUGUUCUAAAACAACCCUCAGAUGCCCAAACUUGCAUGAUGAGGAAGUGAGCUGCCAAAGCUGAGUGUCUGAUGAGGGGCAUAGACCCAACACCCACUCCAGAGGAGUCCACUGAGGAUAACUGACAAAGUAAAACCUCCAGAGGACAAAACAAGGGGCCACAUAGAACUGUGUGAUUCUUGAUGUUGGCAGCAACCCAUCAGUACGUACAGCACCCAUUCAUAGUGAAAACUUGACAGGCUGUAGGCAGAACGUCCACCAUAUUUGAGACUCUUGCUGGUUUUCUUUCAACUCACACUUGGUUGGUUUGACUGGUAUAGAAUUUGCAGUUCAAAAUAAUUUUCACGCUGUAAACAUGUCGUUCCAUACGUUCAUAUGAAACAUAAAUAACAUCUUCCUCUGAAAUUCAAUACUGCUGAUGAAAUUCUAAAGCCAAUCUGAUUGUUGUACUUCUGCAAGUGACCUGCCUUUCUCUUUUGAAGUUUUUAGGGUCUUCCUUUUGUCCCUAGUGUUCUGAUAUUUUAUAAAGCUAUGUCUAGGUUGGGACCUUUUGUCACUUAUCCUGCUGGCCACUGGAAAGGCUCUGUCUAUAAAAUUCUAUGAAUUGCUUCUGCUUUGGGAAAUCACUUCCCUUGUUCCUUUAAUCGUGUCUCUAUUCUCUUUUUAGGAACUCUUAUUUUAUGAGAUUGAAACCUGUGAACUGAUUCUCCACAUCUCUUCAUUUUUCUCUCAUAUUUUCUCUUUUGUAUUUUUGCUCUACGUUUUGGAAAAGCCUACAAGGGCACCAGAGAUUUCAAGUUCCUUCUGAUGCUACUUCGUGCUUAGUGUGAGGCCUGAAUUGCGAGAAGUUUCUCUUGGUAUCAGCCGUCCACCAGCAGCCUUCCGAAGGGCCCUCUCUAUGCUGCAGAGAGGGUCUCUCUUGGCAUUCCUACUUCCUCCUGAGGCAGGCUGCUGGGGCUGGGUAUGAGGGAUUUCUCAGUUCCCUGCUCCUAGCUCAGUCUUAAGCAGGUCUUGGGAGCCGGAUCCUCAGGGAUGGGGCUCUGUCAGCAUUCCUGCCCCUCCGCAGUAGUGAAAAACCUCCCACGUUAUUAUUUGUGCAGGGUCAGUAGGAGGGGCUUUCCCGCCCUUCCUCAGGGUCAGAGGGCUUCUGCCUGGGGUCAGCACAGGGUGAAAUGAGUGGGCAGGUUUUCUGACUGUCCCUCAGCAGCAGGUGACUACUACCUUGUACUUAUGCCGGGCAUAGAGUACAGAUGGAAUUCUCCAGUUUCGCCUGUCCCAACCUCACACGUGGGCAGGUCACGAAUUUCUGCACCAGCGAGGAGGUCUCUCUCAGAUCUCCCAGCUGGGCCCCAAUGCUCCUUUCAAAACUCAGCAGACGGCGGUGGAAAAGAUUUGGCAAAGGGCAGACUCCUCUUGUUUCUGGAACUCUGGGCAUUCUGAACUGUCAUAUUAGCUCACACUUAGCCUCAGAGGACUUGUUAACAUUUAAACUGUUUUUACUUGCUCCUAUGGGGGCCAACUCUUCUAGUCUGUCUGGUCUAAGCAAAGGAAGAGAGUUUGUGUGUCCCACCUCUCCUCAGAGGGGCUUGCUGCUCUUUGGUUUCAGUUCCCACACUGCCUUGUGAACACAGCUCCUUGAUGGGCUAGAAAGAAAUACCAUUUUGUAGACUACCAGCCUUGUUCUUGUUGUCAGGGUGAGAGCAACACUUUUACAGCUUUCUACCUCCUAAGCAGAAGCAGAGUCCAAUGUUUCUUUCUGAAUUUUUAAGAGCAUUGUAACAUCCCAGUAGUUUUUUUUUUUUUUUUCCACAGUAGCCUACUAUAUUUUAUAGAUAUCAUUUAUUCUUGGAUCUCAC